rnacentral:rRNA from 1 species
GACGAACGCUGGCGGCGUGCCUAACACAUGCAAGUCGCACGGGGCCGGGGGCAACUCCGGUUCAGUGGCGAACGGGUGCGUAACACGUGAAGAAUCUGUCCAACGGCGGGGGAUAGCCGGCCCAACGGCCGGGUAAUACCGCGUACGCUCAGCGGGGGGCAUCCCUCGCUGAGGAAAGCCGCAAGGCGCCGCUGGAGGACUUCGCGGCCUAUCAGCUAGUUGGUGAGGUCAUGGCCCACCAAGGCGACGACGGGUAGCUGGUCCGAGAGGAUGACCAGCCACGUUGGGACUGGGACGCGGCCCAGACUCCUACGGGAGGCAGCAGUGGGGAAUAUUGCGCAAUGGGCGAAAGCCUGACGCAGCGACGCCGCGUGUGGGAUGACGGCCUUCGGGUUGUAAACCACUGUCGCGAGGGACGAAGCUCUGACGGUACCUCGAAAGGAAGCACCGGCUAACUCUGUGCCAGCCGCCGCGGUAAGAC